CAGCCGCCGCGGGAAUACGUAGGGUGCGAGCGUUAAUCGGAAUUACUGGGCGUAAAGCGUGCGCAGGCGGUUCGUUAAGACAGAUGUGAAAUCCCCGGGCUUAACCUGGGAACUGCAUUUGUGACUGGCGAGCUAGAGUAUGGCAGAGGGGGGUAGAAUUCCACGUGUAGCAGUGAAAUGCGUAGAGAUGUGGAGGAAUACCGAUGGCGAAGGCAGCCCCCUGGGCCAAUACUGACGCUCAUGCACGAAAGCGUGGGGAGCAAACAGGAUUAGAUACCCCAGUAGUCCCUGUCUCUUAUAC
rnacentral:rRNA from 1 species